AGCAUGGCAUAUUGGUUUGAGUGUUGGACUAGGACUCUGAAGACCAGGGUUCAAAUUCCAGUUCAGCUG